GGUGGAUGUGUCUCACCCAUUUUGCUUAAUAUGUAAUUGAUAAAUCCAAUUAUGAUGGAAGAAAUGUUGAAGCUUUGUUGAGGAAAAUGAUAAGCAAAGCUAUAUAUGUUGGUUGAUUAAUACUUGGUGUACUUCAACAAUACCAGGCAGGCAGGUAGACAACAACUUGAUUGGGGGUAUAUUUGACCUUGCUGUUUGCAUUGCUAUUGAGAAAUCACUUUGAAUGUGUUAAUUAAAACCCAUCAAUAAUUGUUUUUAAGUUAAAUUUGAC
rnacentral:misc_RNA from 1 species